GGGGGGUUGGCCGAGUAAGGUGAUAGGCUGUAAACCUAUUUACGGGAGGUAUAGUCUCUCACCCCUUA
rnacentral:tRNA from 1 species